ACAGCCAGCAGCGCAACCUGCCCGGGUCUACUUCCACACCGUAGAAGUUUUGUUCUUUUGCUCUUCACAACAAAUCUUAACUGCUGCUCACUCUUUGGGUCCACACCACCUUUAAGAGCUGUAACACUCACUGCAAGGGUCUGUGGCUUCAUUCUUGAAGUCAGCGAGACCACGAACCCACUGGAAGGAGCCAACUCCGGACACAGAGGGGAUGUCUUUCCCCCCUUAACCCUCAUAUCAUGUAGGAGAAAUUUGCAAUGAGGCAUGGCCCUAACACACUGAGGAUAAUUGUGACCAAUGGGAAAAUUUCCAGAAACUUUGUAAGAGGCCAAGUCUGUAGAAGAUAACGGGGAAGUCGAUUGCCUCAGAAAUUGGAGUGAGCUAACACAGAUAAGUCAUGUCUCAUUUUUUCAUUCUUUUAAAAUUUUGAUAAUUUAAGUGAAACAUGCCUACUUUUAAAAUUUUUGUUGUGCCUUCCUCCUGCUUGGUCCACAGUCUUUAUCUGAAAGAUCUUUAUUAGGUUAGAUGAGAGUUAUUAAUAAAUCCCCUACUGAAAUUUUUGCUUCAGAUAAAUAGAAACUAAUUUUAAUGGAUGGAAAAAAUGAGAAACUCCAUUUCAGUGAAUUAUAGGCUUUUAGAUGGCAUGGCAGAGCUGACCCUAGCAACCCAGCGGCAAAUAGACUUUAUGGUGGGAAGAAAGUUGUGCCACAAGGCUCCUUAAUAGGAUAGAAACUUCCCAAGGAGUGAGAGAUUUCAGGAAGGAGAAAGCGGAGAACAAUUGCUAGGAACUGAAGAUGGGAAAGAUAUCACAGCAGAUAAAGAGAUUUCCUCUUGACAUUACCUAGCAAUUGACAUUUGGUUGUGCAGGUUGUACACUGAGCAAAUUUAGAAGGCAUUGUUUAGAUGUGAAUUGUGUCUCCUAGAGGUCUGUACUACACAGUCUGUUGUAUCUCUUCAUCUCAUUUCACUGAUCUUAACAUGGUAAUCAUGGGGAUGCUGUGAGGACUAUGAAAAGUGAUUUUGCCACAUGCAGUGCCUACCUGGCAGGCAUCAGACAUGAGAGUGUGUGCCUGGCAACAGUGAGGAGGCUCAGUAGCUUGGAGUUCGUCAGGUUUAUGUGCACCAGGGACCCAAACCCUCUGGUAGUAAAAAAGGGGGAAAAGACAAGGAGAAUUGCUGGGGUGACUAUCUUUGUUUAUGGUGAUCAUGGCUAUUGUAAAUAGCAAUUCUUCCCCAUGUCAGUGGCUUCAUACAAUAUGAUUUCUUUGUCAGUCACAUAAGUUUGAAGUAGACUUUUCUCCAAGGUGGUGUCCUUCCAGAAGUCUGUCAGAGGCCCUGGUGCUUUCCAGCAUGUGGCUCUCACUUCUUCAGCAGGUGCCAGGGCUGCUGCAGGAGAAAGGGCAUGGAGGAUUGUUCCUGAACAAUCUGAACACCUGACCUCAAGUGAUACACCCGUCUUAGCCUCCCAAAAUGCUGGGAUGACAAGCAUGAGCCACCACGCCUGGCCCUCUUACUCUUUUUUAAAACCACACUGGGGAUAUAGAAACGUGUGACAUCUUUCAACUGUCUUUACCACAUUUGCAAAGUUUUUUCACCUUUUGUUUAGUUCUGUUUACUAACAGAUACAAAGUCUGAAAUUCUGUUGACCAUGUCUGCCUAGGACUGACAUCACGUUUCUUAAGUUCUAUUAGUCUAAUCACUGUCAUAUGGCCACAGCCAACUUCAAGGGAAGAAGAGAGAGGCAGACUGGCUGUCUGUCCAGGAGGAAGAGGAAAUUAACCUCUUGCGUAAUUUUGCCAACACCACCUGGAUGUCUUCUUUUAUGCUGGUACAACAAUAUAGCAGCAUCAUCCUUGAUGUGAGCCUUCUGGAUUCAGAAGCCAGACUGCAUCCAUACGGGAUGUUUCCUUUCUCUCCAAAGACUAGAAUAAAAGUAGUGACAGAGGUGGAAAGAUCACACACAUAAGGACACACGAUUUAAACCUAAGUGGAAAAUAUACUUAAGAAAUUAAAUUAUAGUAUUGUAUUUAUUUUUGAAUGUUUACUGUCUCAUAUAAUUUAUAAUUUGUCCUACUUAUUUAAUGGGAAAACAUCAUCUGUUUCAAAGAGUUUGGACAAAUAUUGAUUUAUUAAUCUAAAAGGAAGGAUUCAAUUGUAUUGGCUUUCCUGAUUCCUGAUCCAACUGGAAUCUAUAGGAAACAUCCAUUUGAUUCUCUCUCUCUCUCUGCUCCUAUUCUUUUUUUAAUUUUUAUUUUAUUUUUAGUUUUUGAGACAGACUCUUGUUCUGUUUCCAAGCUGGAGUGCAGUGGCAUGAUCUCAGCUCACUGCAACCUCUGCCUCCUGGGUUCAAGUGAUUCUCAUGCCUCAGCCUCCCAAGUAGCUAGGAUUACAGGCACACGCCACUGCACCUGGCUAAUUUUUGUGUUUUUAGUAGAGACAGGGUUUUGCUGUGUUGGCCAGGCUGGUCUCCAACACCUGACGUCAAGUGAUGCAUCCACCCUGGCCAAAGUGCUGGGAUGACAAGCAUGAGCCACCGCACCUGGCCCUCUUAGUCUAUUUUGAAACCACACUAGAGAUAGAGAAACAUGUGACAUCUUUCAACUGUCUUCACCACAUUUGCAAAUUUUUUUCAUCUUUUGUUUAGCUUUGUUUACUAACAGCUCUAAAGUCUGAAAUUCUUUUCUGUUUCACUGCACUCACCACAUUAAGCUUAAUACUCUGAAAAUACACACAGCUUUAUGGAAAUGUAUCUGACACCUCUGUGUUCUCCCCACACUUCAUUUACCUCUUUCUUUUGAAACUCUAGCAAAGAAACCCUUGCUAGGAAGUAGGAACCUGGGAUGUUUAGCCAGAGGGUCUUUUAAUUUUCUUCCCUUCCUUUUUCUUUCCUUCCCUUCCUUUUCUUCCUUUCUUCCCCCUCUUGUGCAUCCCCCUUUUUUUUCUCUCUCUUUUAGGGAAAAAGUAGACAGUGAUUUUUUUUCCUUUUUUUUUUUUUUUUUUGGCCUGAGAUAGAGUCUUGCUCUUGUCACCCAGGCUGGAGUGCAAUGGUGCGAUCUCCACUCACUGCAACCUCUGCCUCCUGGGUUCAAGUGAUUCUCCUGCCCCAGCCUCCCGAGUAGCUGGGAUUAUCUGCACCCGCCACCACACCAGGCUAAUUUUUUUGUAUUUUUAGCAGAGAUGGGGUUUUACCACGUUGGUCAGACUGGUCUCAAACUCCUGACCUCAGGUGAUCCACCCACUGUGGCCUCCCAAAGUGCUGGGAUUACAGGCAUGAGCCACUGUGCCCUGCCAACAGUGAUCUUUUAACUUGAGCACUGGGGAGCCUGGAUUUCUUGUUCAUGGGCUCUCACUGAUGAAUAUUAUUUGUGCUUUUAUUUAUGGUUUUCUUAAGCUUAAGACUGUGAUUUACAUAUCAACUGUGUGGCCAACUGCAUCUGUGCCACUACUUGCAGUUCUUGCAGUGGGCAUUGUGCCUAUGGUAUUGCUGGGGUUUUCUGCACCAUGAUAUGCCUUUGUCUCUGCUUGUCUUGCACAGCUUCUCUGCCAUCGUCAACUUUGAAUGUUUUAUUUAAAUUCCAUGUUUUUCCAUUAUCCUCUGCAGGAGCUUUCUUAAAGAAAUACAAUCGGAUAAAAGUUAAAGAACUUCUUAUUACGCUCCCAGUUAAACAGCUUCCGCACACCUUGGAAAGCUUUGCACCUUAUAGCACUCAGGUGUGUUAUGCUUUUAAUUAAAUGUGGUGUUUGCUGUCAUUUCUGUAAGUCCUCAAGCAGUAGACCCUUGGACCGACACAGAAUCCCAUUAAAGCCUUGCUUCCAUGGGAAAAUCAGAUUAUCCUCACCUCCUUUUGAACUACAAUGCCUUCCCCAGGAAUAUAAUUCAUGGUAAAUAUAAGGUCAUCUUGUACAUUUGGUAAUAGCUGCUCCUUCCUCUUCAGUGGUUAAGGUUAAAAUGCUGGGCUUGGUUCUUGGGGAGUGACUGCCCACGCCUACUGUUGGAAGUUCCUCCAUUAGUCAGGUUUGCCCUGGCCACUCUGAGAAGAUAGUGCUGGAAAAACUGCAGUCUUUCUCAUCUUACCUCCCCGACGUCUGAUCCUAGACUGACCUCUCAGAAAAGUGUUUGACCAACACUGUUCCAGCAGGUUUCCAUCUGCAUAAUAGCCUGGUGAUGUCUGGUAAGCACAAGCUGAGCGCACACCUUCUGGGGACUGAUGAGAUCUAGAAUAACCAAGAGAACGUAGACCUGCAUUUUCACUGAUUCCAUUGAACAGGCAUGGCCCCAACACUCCGCUUCUGUCUGAUACUCAUAAGGCACGCUCCAUUCUGAAGUUAC
rnacentral:lncRNA from 1 species